rnacentral:rRNA from 1 species
CAAGUCGAACGGUAGCACAGAGAGCUUGCUCUCGGGUGACGAGUGGCGGACGGGUGAGUAAUGUCUGGGAAACUGCCUGAUGGAGGGGGAUAACUACUGGAAACGGUAGCUAAUACCGCAUAACGUCGCAAGACCAAAGAGGGGGACCUUCGGGCCUCUUGCCAUCAGAUGUGCCCAGAUGGGAUUAGCUAGUAGGUGGGGUAACGGCUCACCUAGGCGACGAUCCCUAGCUGGUCUGAGAGGAUGACCAGCCACACUGGAACUGAGACACGGUCCAGACUCCUACGGGAGGCAGCAGUGGGGAAUAUUGCACAAUGGGCGCAAGCCUGAUGCAGCCAUGCCGCGUGUAUGAAGAAGGCCUUCGGGUUGUAAAGUACUUUCAGCGGGGAGGAAGGUGUUGUGGUUAAUAACCGCAGCAAUUGACGUUACCCGCAGAAGAAGCACCGGCUAACUCCGUGCCAGC